rnacentral:rRNA from 1 species
GACGAACGCUGGCGGCGUGCUUAACACAUGCAAGUCGAACGGAAAGGCCCUGCUUUGGUGGGGUGCUCGAGUGGCGAACGGGUGAGUAACACGUGAGUAACCUGCCCUUGACUUUGGGAUAACUUCAGGAAACUGGGGCUAAUACCGGAUAGGAGCUCCUGCCGCAUGGUGGGGGUUGGAAAGUUUCGGCGGUUGGGGAUGGACUCGCGGCUUAUCAGCUUGUUGGAGGGGUAGUGGCUUACCAAGGCUUGGACGGGUAGCCGGCCUGAGAGGGGGGCCGGCCACAUUGGACCUGAGCUACGGCACAGACCCGUACGGGAGGCAGCAGUGGGGAAUAUUGCACAAUGGGCGGAAGCCAGGUGCAGCACCGCCGCGUGCGGGAUGACGGCCUUCGGGUUGUAAACCGCUUUCGCCUGUGACGAAGCGUGAGUGACGGUAAUGGGUAAAGAAGCACCGGCUAACUACGUG